GGAUUAGAUACCCUGGUAGUCCUAGCUGUAAACGAUGGAUACUAGACGUAGGAACUGGAUUGACGGUUUCUGUGUCGUAGCUAACGCGUUAAGUAUCCCGCCUGGGGAGUACGGUCGCAAGACUAAAACUCAAAUGAAUUGACGGGGACCCGCACAAGCGGUGGAGCAUGUGGUUUAAUUCGAUGCAACGCGAAAAACCUUACCUACUCUUGACAUACUCGGAAGCUCUUGUAAUGAGAGUGUGCCUUUUGGAGCCAAGAUACAGGUGCUGCAUGGCUGUCGUCAGCUCGUGCCG
rnacentral:rRNA from 1 species